rnacentral:misc_RNA from 1 species
GAUGAAGAACGCAGCAAAAUGCGAUAAGUAAUGUGAAUUGGAGAAUUCAGUGAAUCAUCGAAUCUUUGAACGCACAUUGCGCCCGCUGGUAUUCCGGCGGGCAUGCCUGUUCGAGCGUCAUUUCAACCCUCAAGCCCCCGGGUUUGGUGUUGGGGAUCGGCUCUGCCCUUCUGGGCGGUGCCGCCCCCGAAAUACAUUGGCGGUCUCGCUGCAGCCUCCAUUGCGUAGUAGCUAACACCUCGCAACUGGAACGCGGCGCGGCCAUGCCGUAAAACCCCAACUUCUGAAUGUUGACCUCGGAUCAGGUAGGAAUACCCGCUGAACUUAAGCAUAUCAAUAAGCGGAGGA